GAGAAACACUUGAAACAGGGUAGGCAGUGAUGGGCUGGAAAAGGUGAAGACACAGAAAGGAGGGAACGGCUGAAGAGGGAGAUGCAGAGCAGGUGUGGACAGCAAGAAAAAAAGGUGGAGGGCAAAGUGGCUGCAUUCACAACUCACGUUCGCCAAGCCAGAGACCACCAUUCAACACUGUGUUUCAACAUUUUUGUCUUUUGGGAAAAGAAAUCCACCCAACAUCAGCGUGCAAUGCAUCUUGGGACACGGUGGGCCACAAAGGAAAUGCCCGCGAAGCAAAGGCUGCAUUCCUCAUCCACAUUUGACGGACCCUUCCAAAUGAAACAGCCUUGUCGUGGUCUUCAAAUGCAAAAUGAGAUAUCACGUUGAAUCUGAUUUUCACGUGUUGGUUUUGUUCCUUGUAGUAAAUUCUGUUCCAGGGUCUUCAUUUCAACUUAUGACAUAGCGAUGAAAACCGUAUUUCGAGUUAAAUGCUGUGACUGAGUGGUUUAUGUACAGAACUCUGAAGGCUGAAGAGACUAAGCUUUAAAUCCUGUUUAUUCUAUUUUAUAUUACACACAUCAUUUUUGCACUAAAGUCACUCAUCAUUUUCCAUGUUUUUAUACAUAGUUAUCCAUCACUAUUUGGUUAGGGUUAGGAAAACAUGGUUUUGAUUGUAAUCGACUUUCAUAACAUGAAACACGUGUUCGUAUUUUUUCCCCAGUCUUUUUGCUAAGCUACGACGUAACGAAAAUACGCGAUGGUCAGUUUCAAUGCAGGUCUUGGAGCAACUCUAAUCAUGAUGUUCGAGGAACAACAGCAACAUGGCCGUGUCGGAUCUAUGUACAAAUGUGAUCUAAGUGUAAAUAACCUGAAUGUUUUAACAUGUUUAAACGUUGGAUUAUUCCUAAAAUCACCACAGAACAUAGCUGAAGUUUACUUUACAGCAGCUUGACUUUUUGUGUACUGCAUUCACAAAACAUGCACUGAUGUCUAUAAUGAUGGUCGAAACCACAGGAAUUCUCUGUUAACAGCAGAUUUUUACCUCUAAGGACCAAAUAUACAUCUCUCACUCUCUCUAACACACACACGCACACAGCGCUGCAGUGAUUGGUAUUGCAGCAAAUGAUAUUUGAGCAGCGGGGCUCUUUGACAUAGCAGCGAUGUGUAGGCUGUGGCCUUCGUACAAUAGCCUCGCCCCCCUGGGGAAUCUGGAUCCCAUCUUUAGUUUGAAGCUCAUUAAGCCGAUUAUUCCCAUAAUCUCUCUGAUGGCAGGCGGAAUAAAGAAACACACACUAAUAAUUGCCUGCUUACAUUUUGUUCUGUUUGGCCCCGUCGACCGCUUAAAAAGGGAGACUGAAAGAUACACACU